UACGUAGGGAGCGAGCGUUUGUCCGGAUUUACUGGGUGUAAAGGGUGCGUAGGCGGCUUGGCAAGUCAGUAGUGAAAUCCAUGGGCUUAACCCAUGAACUGCUAUUGAAACUGUCGAGCUUGAGUGAAGUAGAGGUAGGCGGAAUUCCCGGUGUAGCGGUGAAAUGCGUAGAGAUCGGGAGGAACACCAGUGGCGAAGGCGGCCUACUGGACUGCAACUGACGUUGAGGCCCGAAAGCGUGGGGAGCAAACAGG
rnacentral:rRNA from 1 species